GCCUUGGCCGGCAGCUUACACAUGCAAGUCGAGCGGAGAGAGGUAGCUUGCUACCGAUCUUAGCGGCGGACGGGUGAGUAAUGCUUAGGAAUCUGCCUAUUAGUGGGGGACAACAUUUCGAAAGGAAUGCUAAUACCGCAUACGUCCUACGGGAGAAAGCAGGGGAUCUUCGGACCUUGCGCUAAUAGAUGAGCCUAAGUCGGAUUAGCUAGUUGGUGGGGUAAAGGCCUACCAAGGCGACGAUCUGUAGCGGGUCUGAGAGGAUGAUCCGCCACACUGGGACUGAGACACGGCCCAGACUCCUACGGGAGGCAGCAGUGGGGAAUAUUGGACAAUGGGCGCAAGCCUGAUCCAGCCAUGCCGCGUGUGUGAAGAAGGCCUUAUGGUUGUAAAGCACUUUAAGCGAGGAGGAGGCUACUUUAGUUAAUACCUAGAGAUAGUGGACGUUACUCGCAGAAUAAGCACCGGCUAACUCUGUGCCAGCAGCCGCGGUAAUACAGAGGGUGCAAGCGUUAAUCGGAUUUACUGGGCGUAAAGCGCGCGUAGGCGGCUAAUUAAGUCAAAUGUGAAAUCCCCGAGCUUAACUUGGGAAUUGCAUUCGAUACUGGUUAGCUAGAGUGUGGGAGAGGAUGGUAGAAUUCCAGGUGUAGCGGUGAAAUGCGUAGAGAUCUGGAGGAAUACCGAUGGCGAAGGCAGCCAUCUGGCCUAACACUGACGCUGAGGUGCGAAAGCAUGGGGAGCAAACAGGAUUAGAUACCCUGGUAGUCCAUGCCGUAAACGAUGUCUACUAGCCGUUGGGGCCUUUGAGGCUUUAGUGGCGCAGCUAACGCGAUAAGUAGACCGCCUGGGGAGUACGGUCGCAAGACUAAAACUCAAAUGAAUUGACGGGGGCCCGCACAAGCGGUGGAGCAUGUGGUUUAUUUCGAUGCAACGCGAAGAACCUUACCUGGGCCUUUGACAUAGUAAGACCUUUUCAGAGAUGGGAUUGGUGCCUUUCGGGAACUUACCAUACAGGUGCUGCAUGGCUGUCGUCAGCUCGUGUCGUGGAGAUGUUGGGUUAGUUCCCGCCACGAACGCAACCCUUUUUCCUUUAUUGCCACGAGUAUUGCUCGGGAACUUUAAGGAUACUGCCAGUGAACCACCUGGAGAAGGCGGGGAACGACGUCUAGUCUAUCUGCGCCUCUUCCGU
rnacentral:rRNA from 1 species